UCAUCCUCUCUCUUUAACAAAGUUAUUAAUUCCACUUCAGCGUUCCUUCUCCAAUCAAACCGUUAAUGGCUUCGAUCGACGAGGAGCAUGGAAACUGUCACCACUUUUCUUUUCUCAACGGAACUUUUCUGUCAAUUUCCUGAGAAAGGAUCCUUCUCUGCUCCUUAUCCUUCCUUUAGAGGAGCACGUGUUGUGGAGAGCUAAUAAAACUGCACUCAAUUUUACACCCAUGCCAACCUCUUCUGAGACCACGGUGACGACGACGACGACGGUGAAGGUGUGGGGAAUGGAUCAAAAAUGUAUAUUUGCUGAAUGGCAUGGACGAGAGACGAAGAAAGGUAAAAGGAGGACAACCCUUCACCGACAGAAUCACCGAUCUUGAUGCCCUUUGGAUAUGUUGUAG